GAUAUGAGCAAUUAUAGUAUCAAUUUAAUUGAUAAAGGUAAGAAUAUUUCAAGAAAAGGUAUUUUAAGCCAAUUUGGAAAGGGUAAUAGAAGCGGUCUAGUACAGUACGGAGCUUAUACAGCAGAUAAAUCCAUAUCACUUGAUUUAAACAAAGAAAUCUUAAGCAAACAUGGUAACAUAAAUACUAGUAACAGAAGUAGUAACACCCAAGACGACAUGAAUAAAGAAAUGACCAAUAAACAAAAUAAUGAUUUUUUUAAUGAUAUUUGUACAAAAGAAAAAGAGCUUAUUAUGCAGGAGCAAAAUGUAAUGAUACUAAAAGAAAAUAUAUUAGAAAAAGAAAAUAUUUUAAAUAAAAAAGAAGAAAAAUUAAAUGAUGAAAAAAAAAUGCUUCUACAACAUAUAAAUGAAUUGAAUGUUUUGAAAGAUAACGUUUUGAGCAAAAUUGAAUUUAUAAACAGUAAAGAAGAAGAGAUAAAAAGAAAAGAGACAUCGUUGUUCGAGCAGGAGGAAAAUAUAAUGAAAAAAGAAACAGCGUUGCACCAAAAAGAAAUGUACUUAUUACAAAUUGAAGAUUCAUAUUCUUUGAAUAAUAAUCAACAAAAAAAUAAUAUAAGUGCUACUAGUUCUACUACUGGUGACACUAAUAAUGAUGGUUCCUUAAAAACAUUAAAUGGUAGUCAAGGUAUAAAUAAUAUGAAUGAAUAUAAUAAGUUAAAUGAAUCAGUAAUUAAUAUUUUAAAAAAUAUAAAUCAGGACAGUGAUUACAAUAGAACAAAUAACAAAAGUUUAAAGUUACAAGAUAUGGACGAAAAUUCGGAGAAUUAUGAAAAAGACACAAAUGAUGUAAAUGACAUGAGUCAAAUAAACAAUAUGCAUGACUCGAAUGAUGAAAAAAAAAAAAAAAAUUUACAACAAAAGAACAAUAAAAAUAUGUCAUAUGAUGAAAAAAUGAUAAAUAAUUCAACUAACGAUAUAAACGGAUUUAAUCUAUCAGAAAACCAUUUACCUAAAAAUGGGGACAUGAACAAACAUACAGCUGAACAAGAAAUAGAAAAACUCAAAAGUAUAAUAAAAAGUAAAAACUUAAUUAUAAACUCAUUAAAAGAAUAUAUAAACAAAUUACAAACCAAUAAAGAACAGGAUUUAAGUAACAUCAGUAAAUCAUGUAGUUACAUACAAAAUUUAAAACAAAGUAAUUUUAAAAAUGAUAAAACAAUAAAUGUAUCAGAUUACUUAGAUAAACAAACAGAAAGCUCUAGUUUAUCACAUGCGUCAAGUAAUAUAGAAAAUAUGUUAAUGGAUGGUGAAUCGAAUAACAGUAAGGACUAUUUGACGGAUAUGUAUCAGACACAUAAGACAAAUUUUGAAGACUUAACAAAACCAAAUGGACAAGAAGUUAAUAAAAUGAUUAGCAAAGAAUUGUUAGCAAUAUAUAAAGAAAUAAACAACAUAAAGAAAGAGUACAACUUAAAUGUACUUAAAAAAAAUGAAUUCAUCGGAAACUUGUUAAUAUCAUUUUUCAACGAGUUGAAAAACAAUUAUAAAUUAAAAGAGAAAUAUUAUCAAGAAGAAUCAAAUAAAAAUAUGGAACUUAUUAACCAAAAGGAAAACUAUAUAAAAGAGCUCAAGGACACGCUGCAAGAGAAAAAGUUAAAAGAAGUGUCAUACAAGAAAAUGCUAUUAAAAAUGAAUCAAAUAAACGAUGCUUAUAAAUUAAAAAAUAAAAGAAGUGUAUCUACUGUUGAGAUGCUAAAGCAGGAUAUACAACUUUUAAAUCAGGAUAUCCAAAAGAAAAAAGAAAUCAUUAAGAAAUUUGAAGAGCCCAAACGAGUCUGAGCAUUUAAACCUUUGUAUAUGAAAAGAAAAAAAAAAAAAAAAAAAAAAAAAAAAAAAAAAAAAAAAANNNNNNNNNNNNNNNNNNNNNNNNNNNNNNNNNNNNNNNNNNNNNNNNNNNNNNNNNNNNNNNNNNNNNNNNNNNNNNNNNNNNNNNNNNNNNNNNNNNNAAAAAGAGAAAGAGAAAAAAAAAAAAAAAAAACAACAACAACAGCAAAAAUAAAAAAAAUAAAGAAGUAAACA
ensembl:lncRNA